rnacentral:misc_RNA from 1 species
GUAUUCUUUUUUGCUUUGUUUCUUAGGGAGCAGAGUGAGAGAUAUGAGGUAUCCCUGUAAUAGGGUGCUUUGAAUUAGAUUGUCACUGUCUUGUAGAAAACGACGACGUUUUUCAUAACCUGCAGAAAAGUAUUUGAAUGGAACCUUGGUUUCUUAUGAUGCUGAAUAAGUAGGCGAAAGAUUGAGUUUUCGUAGGACUGGGGUCCAUAACCUAAAGCUUUCGAGCUUGAA